UCUUCACAUUUUUUGGUUUCGUGUUUCUUUUUUGGUCACUAGACUAUUACACGGGUCCUGUUAGAAUUCUAUCUCAGAUUGGACACUGGUUCUACAAACUAAAGCAAGUACUAUAGUAAACAGACACUUAAACCACCGCCCUCUUUCUUCCUCUCCGUCAGCCACAUACGACCAAGUGGCUCUCUCUCCCAACAGAGAUUGACUUUGCAGACACAGUCCGAUAAUUAGCCCGCUGUAGAUACAGAAAAUAUAACAAAAACCCAUAUACAAAACUCUUUAAAACCUCAAGAUUUUUGAAGAAUUGAAGAGAUAGGAGCUGAUAUACCCUAUUGUGGAACAGAAUAUGUGAUGUACGUGUUUGCAAGUUUGGGUUUGGUUUUGUUUGCUGGGCUUAUGGCUGACCUUACUCUUGGCCUUGUGUCUCUUGGUCUUGUGGACCUUGAGGUUUUUAUCAAGUCUGGGCGGCCUCAAGAUCGUAAGCAUGAUGGUAUUUCUCGUGAUUCCAUGCACAAGAGGCGUGCCACUGGUGGAAAGAAGAAGGCCUGGAGGAAGAAGCGAAAAUGCAAUUUACAAAUGCUUUGGAGCUUCCAUUACAAAGGAGGAUAGCAAGAUUUGAAGCAAGGUGGCAUAUAGAUUUGUAUCAGAGAAGUCCUGAAAUGAUUCCUGUAGUUCUAGAAUUCGCAAAGUUGGACUUUAACUUCAUGCAGGAAUUUAACCAAAAAGAACUUAAAGUUUUGUCGAGUUAUAUAGUGAAGUUAUAAAUAUACUUAUUUAUAUGUAGUAUAAAGAUGGUAAUGCUUUAAUUUGAAUCAUCUGGCUGAACUUCAGGUGGGAUUUAAAGGCAGCAAUGAAAGAGCUUCCGGACUACAUGAAGCUAUGCUUUUUGUCUUUGUACAACUUUGUUAAUGAAACGUCUUACGACAUCCUCCUGAGCAGAACAUCGAUGUUUUACAGCAUCAAAGAAAAUGGUGGAUGGAUUUGUUACUGAAGCGUUAUAUAAUGGAGGCGCGGUGGUAUCAUGGUGGAUACCAGCCGACUCUAGAAGAACACUUGAGAAAUAGAUUUUGUAGGACUUUACUCCUACAUGUGUAGUGCUAAUCUGAUCAAGGAAGAUGUGAUGGAGUUUAUAGUGGAACUUCCGGAUAUUGUACGCUUGGCAUAUGAAAUUUUUCGACUAUCUGAUGACUAUGGAACUGGAUCAGUACUGAUCUGAUGCAGAGUAGAUAAUUCCUGAAGGCAAAUAUGCUGGUUUUUUACAUCGACUGCCCUUCUCAAGCCUCUCAAUUACAGUUAUGUGCCACUGCCUGUUCCUUGACUUUUGUCAACUUUUGUUUUACCUGUACACCCGGUCACAUUGCUUGCUGGAGGCUUCUUUAUUUUCAAAUAUCUGCAGUGUGAGCUUCAUAUUUUUUGGGCAGACUCCACAGCUAAAGAAAUAUGUUAGUGUGGAUCAGUUAUUGCUUGAUCGACGCCGCGACAUCUUCUCCUCCUUUCUUCUUUGUUGUCCUCCGAUAGAGGGGUUGAUGGAUUAUCAAGCAAAGGCUUUUGAUUAUGCUCAUGUUGCCGUUCUUGAUAGUUAUUCUUCUCCUUGCAUCUUCUCAAUACAACGAUAAUUCAUUUUCAUCUUUUAUUUGUUUCAGUCUUUAAAUGAUAGUAGUCCAAGUGUUUGAAUUUAUGACUAAGAGAGUUUUGACUACCGAGUUGUGAUGUGCUGAACAAAGUUUAUGAACUCUGGUCCCUCGUGAACUUUCUACUUCCGGAGAUUUUUAGUUCAGCAGAAACUUUAGAUGAAUGGUUUGCAAUCUCUGGGGAAAAUGACUAGGAAGAGGUCCUCCGUCCAUCCCUUCUGAGAAGGUUGAAGUCAGAUGUUGAGAAGGGCUUGCCUCGGAGGAUGGAGACAAUACUAAAGGUUGGUAUGUCCCAAAUGCAGAAGCAGUAUUUUAAGGCUUUAUUGCAGAAGGAUCUCUAGGUUGUAAGUAAGUUAUGUAGUUUUCUUUUGUUUUGGGCUAUAGUUGCUACAUACGGUAUUUUGUAUUACAUCUCAUUCUUUUUUGUACGUCUUUCAUCAAAGUCCAAUGUCUCAUAUAUUUUAUAUGUUUCACUUUUGUUAUACAGGCAUGACUUUCAGUUCUUUUAUACACAGAGGCUUACUGAGCUGUAUGAAAAAGAAGUUCGCUUUCUUAUGGUUGGUAUAAGCUGGUUUUACAAAUUUUCCAUAUAGUUAACUACAAAGAUAAUUGCUUUAUACAUUGUCCUACUUUGUGUGGACAUAAAUGUUUGGAUGGUAAUUUUGUUUUGCUUGCCGUGGCAAGUUAAUCAGAAGAAUCAAUCAAAAGAUUUAAUUGAAGCGGAUGAGCCUGAAGAGGUGGGAGACCCUUUGACCGCUGAGGAACAGGAAAAGAAGGAGCAGUUGUUUGAAGAGGUGAUACAGGAGUCUUUGUGUGGCUGUUAGUAUGUUUGUAAGUUACCUGAAAUUGCUCUGUACACUACAUUGCUACAUGUCUGAAACUGGUGUAACGGGUAUUUGACAUCUUCACGAUGUGAAGUAUUGGAAAGGAUGGAGAACAAAAUUGAUGAAAAUGAAUCCAUUGGCGUCAGGAAAUCAUCUCAGCCCGAAACUCCAAUUGAGAGACGUAAAGAUUUUGAGUAUUCUCCGUCACAAGAACGAUAUAAUGAAAAGUAUCACAGGACGAGUAGAUCAACAUCACGUGAACGAGAUAGGGAAAGGUCACGAUCUCAAAGCAUUAUUCAUGAUGUGCCAUUUUUGCAUACACAUCACCGGGAUGCUGCAUAUGAUACAGAGAGGAAGAGGACGUUAGGUUCUGAUGAAGAAACUAUAAGUAAACACCAAAGGGGGCUGCGUGCGAAGCAGAGACUCUUCAAGGGAUAAAAGAAGGGAGCGCAGUUUAAGCUAUGGUAGCAGUCUAGCAGACAUGGUGUACGCGUGGACGUCCACAUUCAGGAGACUUCUGAUUGUAAUAGAGAUAUAAAUUCGGAUGAUCGAGAAGUUGUUGAGGAAAAAGAUAGAAAUAGAGAGAGGAAGAGGGAGGAUAAGAGAGAGAGGGAGAGAAGCAGGGAGAUGGAAAAGAACAGAGAGAGGGAGAGAAGCAGGGAGAUGGGAAAAAACAGAGAGAGGGAGAGAAGAAGGGAAAAAACUAGAGGGAGGGAGACUGAGAGGUACAGAGAGAGGGAGCGGAAAAGGGACAGGAAUAAAUAGAGGGAGAGGGAGCGGAGGAGGGACAAGAGUAAUGAGAGGGAGAGGGAGAGGGAGAGAGAUAGAGAUAGGAGGGGGAGAGAGGGAGAAAGAAGGGACAAAGAAUGAAAUAGAGAUAGGGAGAAAGAGGAUGAUCAGGAUAUUAGCUACCAUAAAUAUUAUGAUGCUGAUAACAUUGGCGAUCAAGAAAGGCAUAAUGAUCAAAGGCGCCAGAGGUCAGAUGAUAAGGAGUACAGGGACAGAGUAAGGAAAAAUGAAAAUGAACCGAUUCAAAGCUAUGAGACUGAUCAUUUGGAGAGGAGCACUCAAAAAUUACACAGACUUGGCAAAGGUUUUGAUUUAACCUCAGACUUUCGACUCAAAUAAUGCAAAGGUAAAGCCAGUUUAGUCUGUCUGAAUCAAGACCAGACCAGGCAUUAAUUUGUCAGUACCAGGUUUCGGACAGUUUGAUGAUGUCUCAACUGACAUCAAAUGUGGCAAAGGAGAUCGAACUCGAUAUCAGUCACAUAUUCUUGAUUUUAAUCAGAUGUCGGAGUUUAUGAACCAGAAAUGCUCUGUUCCUGGAAAGAUUCCUUCGAGUUGGUUUAACUCCAUGUUUGGUUUCGAGAGUGAAUCAUAGGAGAGUGAUGCUGCAAUAACAAAGUAUCUAGGAUUAGAUGGUUACUUUAUAUUGUUAUUUGACCUUAUAAAUAGAUAUCAUCUGCAACUUCUGGAUGAGGUAUUUUUUUUGGUGUUAUUUUUA